UUUUGCUUUGAAGUCCUGCUUCUGGAUGUAGCAGUGAGAAGCUCUUAAAUCAUCCCUGGCAGAGGUGACAUUAUAAAAAUAAUUCUGAAGAACAAAAGUUCUUGCCCUUGGAACACACUGCAUUGCACCAAAUAAGAAUUCUAUUUCUACAAGGGCUGGUUCAGAACUUGCUGGUCUUCUCUCCAUCAACCUUGUGUACCUCUGCAUCAAAGAUGUUAACUGAGUCCUAUAAGUUUCAGCAUCGUGACUGUGCUUAAGCAGCUGGACCUGUUUGCACUUCUGUCAGGGGACCAACAUACUCCCACACACUCUUCCUCCCCUCAUCCCUGCCUAUUUCCUUCUUACCCACACCCAGAAGUGACUUUUCUUGAGAAAUGGGAAAGCUAUCAGCAUGUCCCCAUGCUUCCUGGGCAACUUGCAAAUCUGCCUUUGCUCUCAGAGGUGGGUGACAUCUGCUUUCUUUUAUGGG